GUGCUUGCUUCAGCAGUACAUAUACUAAAAUCAGAACGAUACAUAGAAGAUUAGCAUACCCUCUGAACAAGGAUGACAUGCAAAUUUAUGGAGCUUUCCAUAUUUUU
rnacentral:snRNA from 1 species